UAUUCUUAAUGUUAAAUAGAUUAAGUUUACCAAAUUAUUAUGAACGGGAGUUUAAAAUUUAAAGGACUUGGCGGUGUUUUAUACUUUUUAGGGGAAUUUGUUUCGUAAUCGAUGAUCCGCGUUAAACCUGGCCUUUAAUAGUUGUUCAGCAUGUAUACCGUCGUCGUCAGGUAACUUUGUUAGAGUUUUGAAGUUAGCGGAUUGGAUAAAAGAGAAGAAUAAAUAAUAAAAUGGUGUGUUUGGACGUCAGAUCAAGGUGCAGCUUAUGAAGAGGGGUGGAUGAAUUACAUUUAUAUAAUAUAAUGACGGAGAAAGAUAUGAAUUUAUUUUUUGAAGGUGGACUUAAAAGUAAGAAUGUGAUAUAUAGAAAUGUUUUGAAUUUUGUUCUAAAGCGCGUACACACCGCCCGUCACCCUCA
rnacentral:rRNA from 1 species